rnacentral:rRNA from 1 species
GGGUUGUGAGGUUAAGCGACUAAGCGUACACGGUGGAUGCCUAGGCAGUCAGAGGCGAUGAAGGGCGUGCUAAUCUGCGAAAAGCGUCGGUAAGCUGAUAUGAAGCGUUAUAACCGACGAUACCCGAAUGGGGAAACCCAGUGCAAUACGUUGCACUAUCGUUAGAUGAAUACAUAGUCUAACGAGGCGAACCGGGGGAACUGAAACAUCUAAGUACCCCGAGGAAAAGAAAUCAACCGAGAUUCCCCCAGUAGCGGCGAGCGAACGGGGAGGAGCCCAGAGUCUGAAUCAGUUUGUGUGUUAGUGGAAGCGUCUGGAAAGUCGCACGGUACAGGGUGAUAGUCCCGUACACCAAA